CACUAAGUACUGUAGGCGCAUUUCAAAACAUUGUUUUAACUUUUUCAAAGAGAAUAUUCCUGGAAAAAUUACUUUUUAUCCAUGAAGAAGUUGGAUAACAUUUUUAAUGGCAAAAAAACACACUAUUCACAUUUUGGUUGCAAUCACAGACAUGCAAGAGGGAGCAAGUGGAAUUAUACAAAAUUACCUAAAGACUAAGAACUGGCACACUAACACUUCUGCCUAAUUCUCUGACCAAGGUGGAUGAUCUCAACGGACCAGUAUUCAAGUUUGCUGACUCUUUCUGACAACUCAAAUCUGCUUCAGUACCUCUAGUGAAUUCAUUUCAAUUAUUGUACUUUUCAACUCUAGUGUUUAUUAGUAUUCUAAAUUUGGG